AUCUCUGCUCCUAGGGCUAUAUCAUUGGAAGUGAAGCUCUGCUGAUCCGUGAUUAUUGCUAGUUGAAAACUACUCCAAUCCCGUGUGGUAGAUCUAACGGUCACCACCAAUUUCUGAUCCCCCUUGUGGGG
rnacentral:snRNA from 1 species